GGAGGAAGGUGGGGAUGACGUCAAAUCAUCAUGCCCCUUAUGACCUGGGCUACACACGUGCUACAAUGGGCGGUACAAAGGGUCGCGAACCCGCGAGGGGGAGCCAAUCCCAAAAAGCCGCUCUCAGUUCGGAUUGCAGGCUGCAACUCGCCUGCAUGAAGCCGGAAUCGCUAGUAAUCGCGGAUCAGCAUGCCGCGGUGAAUACGUUCCCGGGCCUU
rnacentral:rRNA from 1 species